UUAACACAUGCAAGUCGAACGAUGAACCACUUCGGUGGGGAUUAGUGGCGAACGGGUGAGUAACACGUGGGCAAUCUGCCCUGCACUCUGGGACAAGCCCUGGAAACGGGGUCUAAUACCGGAUACAACCACUAGGGGCAUCUCUUGGUGGUGGAAAGCUCCGGCGGUGCAGGAUGAGCCCGCGGCCUAUCAGCUUGUGGUGAGGUAAUGGCUACCAAGGCGACGACGGGUAGCCGGCUGAGAGGGCGACCGGCCACA
rnacentral:ncRNA from 1 species